rnacentral:rRNA from 1 species
UACGAAGGGGGCUAGCGUUGCUCGGAAUCACUGGGCGUAAAGCGCACGUAGGCGGAUUGCUAAGUUAGAGGUGAAAGCCCGGGGCUCAACUCCGGAACUGCCUUUAAGACUGCAUCGCUUGAAUCAUGGAGAGGUUAGUGGAAUUCCGAGUGUAGAGGUGAAAUUCGUAGAUAUUCGGAAGAACACCAGUGGCGAAGGCGACUAACUGGACAUGUAUUGACGCUGAGGUGCGAAAGCGUGGGGAGCAAACAGG